UGUGUGCAUACUGUACACUUCUGUACUGAAAGUAUGUACUUUUUUACCCGCCGAGUAGUGCAUACUUCCUCCAAUCUAGUAUGUACUCUUCUCUCAGUGCCGCUCAGUCACGUGACGGUACCACAACAAAUCACAGCAGAGCAGGAGGGAGGAGCGAGGAGCAUAUUCCAAUAUUGAGGCGACAGCUAACACCUUAGGCGAAGAAGGUGAGGGCAAAGACCUAGAAAGAUCGCCCGUAUCAAUGGAACUGCGAUCAAGGUAGGGUUUCAACAAAUUCACAUGACAUAUGCGAGUCUUACUACGGCGAUCUGGAGUUGCUAAUAUAUAGUUACUGUCAGUUUGCUUUUCAAUUAUUUUAUAGGGACCGGAGAAUCUGGUUUGCAAAGCGGAACCAGCAACAGGUAAAAGUGCCAGGACCCGAUCCCCAAUGUUAAAUGUGCGACUGACUGCCUUGAUAUCGAAGUGAGCCUUCAUUUUCUUUUGAGAAGAACACAGAUUUUCACUAGCAAUUUUGCGGGCCAAGCAAAGACGUUCACGGAGAUUAGUAACAAACAUUUGAAGGUUAUCACUUUCUGUUGAUGAUGAGGAUAGCCACUGCUCAUAAAGCACUCUAAGUGGGCCACGGACAGACCGUCCAAAAACAAGAGCAUUUGGGCUAAACCCAAGGGAUUCUUGUACUGUGUCCCUAAUUGCAAACAAAAGGAGGGGUACUCCCUCAUCCCAAUCCUUUUGUGUUUCAAAGCAAUAUGCUCUUAGCAUAUUUUUCAAGGUUUGAUGAAAGCGCUCAAGUGCGCCCUGAGAUUCAGGAUGAUACGCACUAGAGACUGAAUGUUUAAUUUGUAGUUCACGUGUUACUUGUGCAAAUAGUUUAGACAUAAAAUUGGUACCUUGAUCCGACUGAAUGCAUUUUGGUAGACCGAAGGUUGUAC